UGCAAGUCGAACGCCCCGCAAGGGGAGUGGCAGACGGGUGAGUAACGCGUGGGAACAUACCCUUUUCUACGGAAUAGCUCUGGGAAACUGGAAUUAAUACCGUAUACGCCCUACGGGGGAAAGAUUUAUCGGGGAAGGAUUGGCCCGCGUUGGAUUAGCUAGUUGGUGGGGUAAAGGCCUACCAAGGCGACGAUCCAUAGCUGGUCUGAGAGGAUGAUCAGCCACAUUGGGACUGAGACACGGCCCAAACUCCUACGGGAGGCAGCAGUGGGGAAUAUUGGACAAUGGGCGCAAGCCUGAUCCAGCCAUGCCGCGUGAGUGAUGAAGGCCUUAGGGUUGUAAAGCUCUUUCACCGAUGAAGAUAAUGACGGUAGUCGGAGAAGAAGCCCCGGCUAACUUCGUGCCAGCAGCCGCGGUAAUACGAAGGGGGCUAGCGUUGUUCGGAAUUACUGGGCGUAAAGCGCACGUAGGCGGAUAUUUAAGUCAGGGGUGAAAUCCCAGAGCUCAACUCUGGAACUGCCUUUGAUACUGGGUAUCUUGAGUAUGGAAGAGGUAAGUGGAAUUGCGAGUGUAGAGGUGAAAUUCGUAGAUAUUCGCAGGAACACCAGUGGCGAAGGCGGCUCACUGGUCCGGUACUGACGCUGAGGUGCGAAAGCGUGGGGAGCAAACAGGAUUAGAUACCCUGGUAGUCCACGCCGUAAACGAUGGAAGCUAGCCGU
rnacentral:rRNA from 1 species